UUCCUACGGGGGGCAUCAGUGAUGAAUAUUGGUCAAUUUUCUUUAGCCUGAACCAGCCAAGCCGCGUGAAGGAAGAAGGCGCCAGGCGUCGUAAACUUCUUUUGUCGGGGAACAAAGGGCGCCACGCGUGGCGUUGUGAGUGUACCCGAAGAAAAAGCAUCGGCUAACUCCGUGCCAGCAGCCGCGGUAAUACGGAGGAUGCGAGCGUUAUCCGGAUUUAUUGGGUUUAAAGGGUGCGUAGGCGGUCCGGAAAGUCAGCGGUAAAAGCCCGGGGCUCAACCCCGGCGAGCCGUUGAAACUGUCGG
rnacentral:rRNA from 1 species